rnacentral:rRNA from 1 species
UACGUAGGCAGCGAGCGUUGUUCGGAGUUACUGGGCGUAAAGGGUGUGUAGGCGGUUGCUUAAGUUUGGUGUGAAAUCUCCCGGCUCAACUGGGAGGGUGCGCCGAAUACUGAGUGACUCGAGUGCGGGAGAGGAGAGUGGAAUUCCUGGUGUAGCGGUGAAAUGCGUAGAGAUCAGGAGGAACACCCAUGGCGAAGGCAGCUCUCUGGUCGACCUCUGACGCUGAGACGCGAAAGCGUGGGGAGCGAACGGG